GGGCGCAGCCUGAUCUAGCCAUGCCGCGUGAGUGACGAAGGCCUUAGGGUCGUAAAGCUCUUUCGCCUGUGAUGAUAAUGACAGUAGCAGGUAAAGAAACCCCGGCUAACUCCGUGCCAGCAGCCGCGGUAAUAC
rnacentral:rRNA from 1 species